rnacentral:rRNA from 1 species
GACGUAGGGUGCGAGCGUUGUCCGGAUUUAUUGGGCGUAAAGAGCUCGUAGGCGGCUUGUCGCGUCGACCGUGAAAACUUGGGGCUCAACCCCAAGCCUGCGGUCGAUACGGGCAGGCUCGAGUUCGGUAGGGGAGACUGGAAUUCCUGGUGUAGCGGUGAAAUGCGCAGAUAUCAGGAGGAACACCGAUGGCGAAGGCAGGUCUCUGGGCCGAUACUGACGCUGAGGAGCGAAAGCGUGGGGAGCGAACAGG